rnacentral:rRNA from 1 species
CGGUGUUUAACUGGCGUGAUGUGGGACGUCCUACCGGUGGGCUUAGCCUCGCGAGGGGCGGCCCAACUAAUAUCCCGUCGCGGUGCUCUUUACUGAGUGUCGAGUCGGGCCGGUACGUUUACUUUGAACAAAUUAGAGUGCUUAAAGCAGGCUAUCCUCGCCUGAAUACUGCGUGCAUGGAAUAAUGGAAUAGGACCUCGGUUCUAUUUUGUUGGUUUUCGGAACCCCGAGGUAAUGAUUAAUAGGGACAGAUGGGGGCAUUCGUAUUGCGACGUUAGAGGUGAAAUUCUUGGAUCGUCGCAAGACGGACAGAAGCGAAAGCAUUUGCCAAAAAUGUUUUCAUUAAUCAAGAACGAAAGUUAGAGGUUCGAAGGCGAUCAGAUACCGCCCUAGUUCUAACCAUAAACGAUGCCAGCUAGCGAUCCGCCGAAGUUCCUCCGAUGACUCGGCGGGCAGCUUCCGGGAAACCAAAGCUUUUGGGUUCCGGGGGAAGUAUGGUUGCAAAGCUGAAACUUAAAGGAAUUGACGGAAGGGCACCACCAGGAGUGGAGCCUGCGGCUUAAUUUGACUCAACACGGGAAACCUCACCAGGCCCAGACACCGGAAGGAUUGACAGAUUGAUAGUUCUUUCUUGAUUCGGUGGGUGGUGGUGCAUGGCCCGUUCUUAGUUGGUGGAGCGAUUUGUCUGGUUAAUUCCUAUAACGAACGAGACUCUAGCCUGCUAAAUAGGCGUACCUUAUGGUAUCGCGAAGGCCCCCGGCUUCGGCCGGGGGGUUUUUACUACCAACGUACAAACAAAUCUUCUUAGAGGGACAGGCGG